rnacentral:lncRNA from 1 species
UCAAACACGGAAGGGAAAAUAGGGCAUGCUUGAAAUCUGAUUUUCUUGCCAAAAUCAACAAAUAAACCAGCUGAAAUCUAUCUUAAUAAUCAAAGGAACUUGAUGAAGGGCUUCCUUAAGGGGUUUUUACCUGAUUCUCCAUGAUGCUCAGUCUAUGAUUCGUCGAACACGGUGAUGAUAAUUUGAAACAAAAAAGACGAAUGGAGAGAGGAAGACGG